UUCAGCUGUUAAAAACAAGUCAGUGCCUUUUCACACAGCCCAAUAAUCCAGCUGCCAGCUCUCCGGGAAAACACGCCGUUCCAGUCCUCUUGACGUGUGUGACCUCAGUUGGGAAGAUGUAUGUUGAUGUCCCUUUCUAUACUCAACACCGCGCGGUCGGAGAAGACGGCUCUGCGGAGGGCUGCCUUCAAAGAGCAGAGCAGAGGCGAGAGCACACGUAUGGUGGGAGACCACGAAAUAAAGCCAUUCCGGGAUGGUGUGAUGGAUGCUUUACCGAACCUAAAAGGAGACGAAGGAGUCCUUCUGGAUGAGGUGCUGUUUGGGGUAUUCCUAGCAGGUGGGAAAGGGAGGCCACUUCAGCAGAUGGAGGAGAAAAUGCGCAGGGAGAAGCUUGGGCUUUGGGGCCUGGGGUGUGGGGCGUCCAUGGGGCCGAGGGAGAGGGCUCCUGUCCUGUGGGCCUCAGAAAUUGUGUGGAGCAGGGUGUUGAAAUGGAAGAGCUUUGUUUCAGGUUCAGCUGAGAUCCCAGUGGAUGCCACGUUCCAAAGCGGAGCCUGAGGCCCCACACAGGAGGUGGUGGAGAUCAAAGCUGUUUUUCGGUAAACAGCGAGGACCUACCAUAUAACACAGGGACCUACAUUCAAUAUCUCGUACCUAUAAUGGAAAAGAAUCGGAAAAGGAAUAUAUAUGUAUGUAUAUAUAUAUGUAUUUAUAUUUAUAUAUGACUGAACCAUCUUGCUAUACACCUGAAACUAACACAACAUUGUAAAUCAACUAUACUUCAAUUAAAAACAUGAAAAAUAAAAGUAACAAACCCAUUGCA
rnacentral:lncRNA from 1 species